rnacentral:rRNA from 1 species
CCCUUAGAUGUUCUGGGCUGCACGCACGCUACACUGAUGCAUCCAACAAGUUUUUUCCUUGUUCGAGAGGACUAGGUAAUCUUUUGAGAAUGCAUCGUGAUGGGGAUAGAUUAUUGCAAUUAUUAAUCUUCAACGAGGAAUUCCUAGUAAGCGCGAGUCAUCAGCUCGUGCUGAUUACGUCCCUGCCCUUUGUACACACCGCCCGUCGCUGCAACUGAUUGGGUGACCUGGUGAACAUCUUGGACCGGUCCACUCAAUUUCGAGAGGACUGGAAAAGGCCGUAAAUCAGGUACAUCUAGAAAUUGCAAAAGUCGUAACA